CCCAUAGACCUCCAGAGGAAACAAUGGCGGACGUUUUUUCAGGCUACUUCCGCGUUAUGGAGAGCUCAACAGUUCUUAACAGUGACAUUCGCGGAGUUUGCCUCAUUCACUUCCAUUGGUGUCUGCCUAACUUUGUCAGCGAUGCUGAAAGUGACGUGACAAGACAUUGUCUUCAAUUAAGUGGUCCUUCAGUGCCACUGCUUUGGUUGACACCAUAAGGGAUUCGGUCGUCCUUGCCGGACCAACUGCUCCACUUUACUGAUGAUAUUGAAGGCCUCCUGCAAUGGACAGUAAAGGGACCAAGGAUGCAGAGGACAAGACGGGUGUGUAGUAUUGACUGAAAUUAUCAGAGAAGGUCAUUUUUUAUGGUUUAGGUCCAAACGAAGGGACCCUUCCAACCUCGGCAUCUCCAACACCUCCUGUCACACCUCCAGCCAAAUGUGCUACAUCUUCCUCAGUUAACCUUCUUGUAGGUGUGCAUGUCCAGCAUCCUUUGCACAUUAAUGUCUUUAGUUGUUCACACACGGUACGGUUGUUCAGAUUUGGGAAUCUGAAAUGUUUUUCAGAAUGUCUUUGAAAAUAUAAAUGGGUGUUAACCCUCCUUUUUAUAUUGCAGUCUCACCAUAUCUCCCUUACGCCUUUUCUGUGUGUAUUCCUGUUCUUGAUGUUGUUAAAACACACUUGUUCCACACAUUGAAAAUGUAAUAAACAAAUGUAUUAAAAACUCAAAA